UACAAAAUUAAAAAUUAUUUCCCAUUUCAAACAUUGAAAUCCCAAGAUUUUAUUAUUGGACUCUCAUUAAAUUAGAAAAUAUGUGAACUUCUCCCAAUUAAAUAUUGUGAUUCGGAUUCGCUCUUUAAUAUUCCUGUAAAUACAUUAGUCACAUAUCUUGGUGUAAUAAUAUCCAAAACUGAAAAUGAUAGAGGAAAUAUUAACUUUCUUCCAAUUAUUGAUCAAAUCAAAAAUAGGUUUAAACUCUGGCUCUUACGUGAUCUUUCCACGAAAGGUCGGAUUCUCCUCUCUGAGGCUGAAGGGCUCUCCAGAGUCAUUUAUGCCGCUCAGUCUCUUUAUGUCAGCAACUUCAUAAGCAAAACCGUUGAUAAACUGCUAUGUGACUUUGUCUGGAAAAACAAACUCAUUAUAUCAGCAAGUUUGUUUUAAUGAAUGGUUAUACCAGUGGUGUCUAAACUUCCUGGAUUUCAGUACCUUAAACAUGACUUUUAUCUUAGUGAUUUUUAUGUUACUUAUUUUUCUCCCUUGUCCGUGAGAAGGGAUGUAACGCUCAGUGUUGGUGAAGAAAACACCAACACUGAGCGUCCCAGUUCCUCUUUACAGCUUCAUCCUCUAUCGACCUCCAUCAAACUCCAUCAUCCUUCACACCCCUGAAGCUGCUCAAGUUCAAACUGACCCAAAGGAAAGCAGCAGUAAAGACAGAUUUUCCGCCCUAAAAAAACAGAUGAUAAAAAAGCUUUUUCUGUUUUCAGCUUCAGAUCAAUGUUGGAAACUGAGAUUAUGAGAGUAAAGCAGGUGUCGGGACAAACCAUGAGAUUUUCCUCCACAGGAUGCUGAGUUUGGUGGGAAACUUCAAUCUGAACUUUGACCACAAACAUGUCUUAUUUCCAGAUGCUUCAUACGUGAAGUAAAGAUCUUUGGUUUUCAACAGUUUUCUGACUAAGAAACUCCUAAAACUUUGUGUUUCUCACUAAGCUUUCCUUCCAGGUCAGCAAACACUGAUUUUCUCUCAUUCAGGAUUUGCUCUGAUCUUGCAUCUCACACUCUCUCUCCACAGCUCUACAUGCUAAAACACGAAAACCAAAUGGGUCAGUAAUUUGAUUAAGUCAUAAAAAAAUGGUUUCUGUUUCCUGGCAGGAGAUGCUGACACUGUGCAGACAUCAUGGAGGCAGAGGGGCUUUGCACCAGGAGUUUACAGGAUGAGGAAAGAAGAUGCUGUGAUGUUUGGAACUAAUUCAAUGGACCAGAGAGCAAACAAAAAAACGAUGAGGAAAAAACAAGCAGCAGCCGGUCUAAAAGAGUCCCGUCUAAAGAGGAUGGCAGGACCACACAAGCCAAAAAAAGGCUUGCUCUGAUGAUGAUGAUGAUGAUGAAGAAAACAAAAAGAGGAAAGUUGAGCCAUCUGAGCCUGCAGAGCCCAUGAAGCCCACUGGAGUAAAGACAUUAAAGAAUAAGAAAGAUUUUCUGGAGAAACUGAAAAAGAUUGUGGAAAAGAGCACCUUUCUCAGUGGAACCAAGACCUCCUCUGUCAAGACUACCAAAGGUGGCCAUCAAACGCAUUGAAAAAGGCUUCGAUCUAAAUACAGAGGUGGUGAGUGGGAGUCAUGCAGCGCUGCAGAAGUCAUGAUGAAGAUCUCUGCUCUGAAUGUGUUCCUUUGCAGUUCUCCUCUUCAUCCUCUCUUUGUGGUGCUUCCUCAGGAUGAACACGGACAGUUCAUUUGCGCAGAGGUGGCCGUCAUGCAGAAGCUCAAAGACCCACAGCUACAGUCUCCAGAUAAAGCCUCCCCCGUGGUUCUGCUGGACUGGUACGAUCUGAAGGAGGAGAUCAUCCUUGUAAUGGAGAGACCGAUCCCAGCCACAGACAUGGAGGAUUACCUGAAGAGCAGAGGAGGCAAAAUAGAGGAAGAUGAAGUUAAGAUCAUCAUGAAACAGCUGAUCCAGACAGCUGUGGAUCUUGAGAGACAUCUUCCAUCGGGACAUCAAAAUUGAAAAUGUCCUGAUUGAGACGAGCUCCAGUGUCCCGCGUGCUCGCCUCAUUGACUUUGGACUGAGCUGUUUCACCAAGGAGACUUCCGUGUUCACAGACUUUGCAGGUAACAGAUCAGCAUCUGCCAUUAAGGAAACCACUGAGGAGCUUCAACUGAUCUAAAGCUGCUGAUUUUCAGGCACGUUUAAAAUUUCAGGGGACCAGGGUACGGUCACGAGCAUCCAAACUGCACGUGACCUCCAUUCUAUCAAAACAUAACUUAAGAGCGUGCUUUGUCGAAACUACACUGUCCACAAUGCCUUUCGUCUACAAUGGCCGCAAAGUGACGGCCUACUGCCACUAAACGGCAGUGUUUCCACAUUUUCCACAUUCAUGAAAACAGGAAACUUCAUUCGGGCCCGUGGCCUGAAUCAAUGUCAGUUCCAGCAGUUUUUGCUGGAGAUGGGGAUGUGCCGUACCACACAGAAGUAAGGUGGCGGAGUAGGAGUAGAGUCCUCAAGCUGUUUUUUGAGCUCAGGGAAGAAAUUGCUCUUUAUAUGCAGAGUAAAGGAAACCCCAUGUCUGAACUGUCAGAUCCAAAGUGGCUGUGUGACUUUGCCGUGAUAUGUGACUUAACAGACCAUCUUGCCCAGCUAAAUCAGAAGCUGCAGGGACGCAAACAACUCAUAACGAAGAUGUCCGACACUAUCACCGCUUUCCAGCGUAAACUGGAUUUAUGGAUGUGGCAAGUGAAACAGAACAAUCUUGUCUAUUUUCCUGUUUGUCAGAGCAUGUCAGCCUCAUUUCCUGAGACUUUUUCAUGUGCUCAGUUGGCUUCCAAAAUGAGCCCGUUAAAAACUGAGUUUGAUGGGCACUUCUCUGACUUCAGAGCACAACAGUCUGGCUUUGACAUCUUCGCCAAUCCUUUAAUCACUGAUGUCUGCACUGCACCCCAACACCUACAGAUGGAGCUUCAGGAUGCUGAAGUCCAAGACUUUUACCGUCUGCUGCCCCCUAGUUUGAUGCCACAGCUUCGACUUCAUGCUGCUCGUGUUCUAUGUUUGGGAGCACCUAUUUGUGCGAACAGUUUUUUCCCAUAAUGAAUCUGAACAAAAACAAGCACAGGUCACGCCUCACAGAUGACAACCUCCAUGCUGUUCUACGUAUUGCCUCAGCACAUGACCUAAAACCAGGCAUUGACACACUGGCAAUGGGAAAACAGUGUCAGACAUCUGGUCAGAAAACAAACGGAACAUGAUCAAUCCAUGGUAGAGAGAGAAUCCACUUGGUGUGUUCAAAGAUGGGCAGCAUCUACUCAAAGAUAAACUUUGAAUUUGACAAAUACAGUUGUUAACUGAGUCAACCUUUAUGUUGGUAUUUUAGUUAAUUACAUUUUAUUUAUGUUUAGAUGCUGUUGUAAUUAUUUAAUGUUUGCAGGUUUUAUGUGUGAAUGCAGACAAAUUGUUGUCAAACCAUGCAAAGCUGGGUGCAGCUUUUUUUGUAAACUGUUGCUUGUGUAAUAAAUGUUCUUUGCAGCUCAGUUUUUGUUAUUUUGUUUAUAUUAUAUUUAUAUAUGUUAUAUUUUACUUUAUUCACUUGGACAGUUUGAUCCUUCAUUAAUGGAGUUAUGUGGGUUUUCAUAAGCAGACACAAUUUAAAUGGAUUUAUGCAGUA